rnacentral:rRNA from 1 species
UACGAGGGGUCCUAGCGUUGUUCGGAAUUAUUGGGCGUAAAGCGCAUGUAGGCGGCGCUUCAAGUCAGAUGUGAAAUCCCAGGGCUUAACCCUGGACGUGCAUUUGAAACUGGAAUGCUUGAGUACGAUAGAGGACAGCGGAAUUCCUGGUGUAGUGGUGAAAUACGUAGAUAUCAGGAGGAACAUCGGCGGCGAAGGCGGCUGUCUGGAUCGAUACUGACGCUGAGAUGCGAAAGCGUGGGGAUCAAACAGG